UACGUAGGGGGCAAGCGUUGUCCGGAAUUAUUGGGCGUAAAGCGCGCGCAGGCGGUUCAUUAAGUCUGGUGUUUAAGGCUGUGGCUCAACCACAGUUCGCACUGGAAACUGGUGAACUUGAGUGUAGGAGAGGAAAGUGGAAUUCCACGUGUAGCGGUGAAAUGCGUAGAGAUGUGGAGGAACACCAGUGGCGAAGGCGACUUUCUGGCCUAUAACUGACGCUGAGGCGCGAAAGCGUGGGGAGCAAACAGG
rnacentral:rRNA from 2 species